UACAGAGGUGGCAAGCGUUGCUCGGUAUCACUGGGCUUAAAGGGCGCGUAGGCGGUGCGGUACGGUUUCGGUGAAAUCCCUCGGCCCAACCGAGGAACAGCCGGAGCUACGGCCGGACUAGACGGCAUCAGGGGACAGUGGAACUCCCGGUGGAGCGGUGAAAUGCGUAGAUAUCGGGAGGAACGCCGGUGGCGAAAGCGACUGCCUGGGGUGACUGUGACGCUGAGGCGCGAAAGCCAGGGGAUCAAACGGG
rnacentral:rRNA from 1 species